CCCGCCCCCCCCCCCGCCCUUAGCCACUGCAAGAAGCUAGAGAGCUUGAAGUGAAUGACAAUUUGGAGAAACAGCCACAGCCUGAAGAUCUAAGAGGCUCUAAAGAAGAUGGAUAAGAAAAUCGAUGCAUAAUAAAAACCGCAGGCACAGCCACCUUGGCGGAGGGCGGGCGGCUCCCUCCCCGCUCCCUCCUCAGGCUCUCUCAAGGCCCCCACCUUAGCCCUGCACCCUCUCUUUCUUUACAGCCACCUUUUCCUGGUAUAAGGAGGCUGGUUUGCCUUUGGGGGUGGGUGUGGAAAAAGAAGCGGGGAAGCCAGGAAGAAAGAGAACAGUAAAUGCGGAUGUGUGGAUGGGUGCCUGGGUGAGGGAGGGAAGAGGGUUGUCAGAGACGCUUUGCACGGACAGAGGUGUGAAUUGUGCCGUAACAGAAUACCUUCAGUGGGAUCACAGGGGGAGAAGGAAAGGUGUGAAGUCACCCUCUUGGCAGGAUAUUAAAGAAGAAAAUAUAACCAAUUUUUCUGGGAGACCUGGGCUGCAGUAUGCAUACGUGAGACACUGCGUGUGUAAACAUCUAUUAUUGCCACACAGUAGGAAUGUUAUUUUCCUGUCUUUCUUAGAAGCUGGGGCCAGAGGAAGAGACAUGGUGGAAAUUCACAUUGGCCUGAGAGUUGAGUUCAUGAGCCGGUUCUGUGCUGAUCGAGGUUUGUGACUCAGGCUCGUCCCGCCCACCCUGUCAGGUCUUUCAGCUAGUGCACUGCCCUCUGCUUUGAAAGUGGCACAGUGGGUAAAGCCGCUGCCUGCAGUGCCAGCAUCCCAUAUGGGCACCGGUUCGAGUCCUGGCUGCUCCACUUCCGAUCCAGCUCUCUGCUGUGGCCUGGGAAAGCAGAAGAUGGCCCACCCAAGUCCUUGAGCCCCUGCACCCUAUGUGGGAGACCCGGAAGAAGCUCCUGGCUCCUGGCUUUGGAUCCACGAAGCUCUGGCUAUUGCGGCCAUCUGCCACCUGGUUCAGGCUGUGACCCUGCCAUAUGCUGUUUGUUCAUUUCUUUCCUAUCAAAGCAUCCCAAAGGUUCCUGCAUUUCCAGGAUGGCUUCCUGGAUUGGGGAGAGCUGGCCACUUCCUUGGUCUCACUGUGGCUGGACUUGGAAACCCUCCACCCCCAAGUCUCUGCUCCACACACACCCUGGCCCACCACGCCCAUUUUCCACACCCUGACCCCCGCCUUCACUUUACACACAUCUUGGUCGCUACUGUGUUGCUGUUGAAUAUUUCAGUGUCUGACCUUCCGAGUUUUUCUUUUUUUAGUCUGUCCUUUUAUUUAGCCUAUCUUUGUGGCUACAUUACGAGUCCUUAAAGUGCAGGAGCACCGUCUGUGUAAUUUCCCGCCCCACAGGUAGGAGCAGACAAGAGAAGCCAAGAGACUGUUCUCUUCUGUCCUGUGGCUUCUGUUUCACAUCUGCCUUCCGCAUUCUCACCUUGCUGGUCUCCUCCCACCAUUGCCCACCCCCUCCUCCCUAGGUUACUCAUGCCUUUUUUUUUUUAAUAGCUGAACUUGAACUCUUCCUGUACUUGAUUCUGAACAUGUUGUUGAGGGGGAGGAAGAGCUCUUUGUUAGAGGGAAGCUACCCGAAUCAGAGCCUGAGAAAUGCACACAAAUGAAAUUGUAAACUGGGUGCCAGAUGCUAAGAGUACCGGGGGAUAAAAGAGGGGCUGGAAUUUGGCUUACUCAUGGAAGCCUUCCUGGAGGAGGAAAAUACUGAGUAGGGUUUGGGAAAAAAAAAAAAAAAGAAGAGAUUGUUAAAAAAAAAAAAAAAGGUUGGGGGGAGGGAUAUGCCAGGCAGAGAUCCAAGGGUUUGGAGCUAGAGAGCGUGGGAGCAGGUUUGCUUUGUGAAGAUCCAGGAGCGAUUGGAGGGUGGAAUCGCAGCCCGAUGUUCAAGCAUGAGGCCUCAGCUGGAGAGUGAGGGUUUGGAAUGAAGGAUGAGAACCAGCGCCGGCUCCCCAGGAGACGCGAGCUCAGGGUGACCGGGAAGGUGAGGUUGCCGAGUGGAGAGUGGCUACGUGGAGACCGGAGACUUCUGCGUCUGACCAGAGGCCUGCUCGAGCUGACUCAUCGCUGGCCCUGCCACCCCCCCAACUCCUGGGGGAGCCCUUGAAGCCCAGGCCCUACCUGCAUCUGAAGACCACCGGGAAGAACCUGGAUUCGUUUUACUCUCCUUCCAGGAUGUGUGGCCCUUGCCUAAUUGUAGACCCAGUUCAGAAGCGCUAACCUUUCCUGGUCUCCCCUGGCCACACUGUCCCCAGGCUUUGUCACGGCCUCUGUGAGGUGCUGGCUAAGGUUGAGGAAAGGGAUGGGAUGUUGAGAACUUGGAACUCAGAAGCUUGGGGGCCUGAGCAUCCUAGGGAUGGAUUAAUCGGAUGGCAGGAGGCCUGCGAAAUGGGGGAGGGGAGGAGGCAUCAGUUCUGCACUCUUGGAGUUCCAGGGCUGUCUUUCCGGCUGAGGCUGUCCUGGGAGAACUUGAGCGGGGGCUUGGGAUUUAGCAAAAACCUGAGAACAUAAGUCGGCUACGGGCUGAGGGCUUCUAGAAUGAAGACGGAGAGAAGGCAGCAGUGCGUCUCUCGGCUGCGCUCCGGUGAGCCAGCCCAGGCUAUGCCACGUGGCCUCAGCGGCAGCUUAUCCCAGCCAAGCUGCCUCUGACCGGCACCCGGCCAGAAUGGAAGGAACAAACAUUUCUCGAGCAUCUACAAGGCGCUAAGCAUGGGUCUACUCUUCCCAUGUGUUUUCUCCUUCAGCCACAUCCUCGUUCAGAAUGAAGGUCUCAGGCAACAGCUGGAGGAGCUGAGAGGCAGACUCACUUCCUCCGGCUUCUGAAAUGCUGCUUCUUCCACGACACAAGUUAGCAUUUACAUCCCGGACAUGGCCUUGUGCAGUUAGCCACUGCUGUGUCUCCAGUCACACCACGUGCCAGGCCAGCUCUUUGCUGUGGCCUGGGGAAGCAGCAGAAUAUGGCCCAAGCACCUGUGUGGGAGACCCAGAAGAAGCUCCUGGCUCCUGGCUUUGGAUUGGCACAGCUCCGGCCGUUGCAGCCAUCUGGAGAGUGAACCAGCAGAUGGAAGACCUCUCUCUCUCUGCCUCUGCCUCUCUGUAACUCUGCCUUUCAAAUAAAUAAACAAAUCUUAAAAAAAAAAAAAAAAAAGACGAAGAGGGAGGGUGACAGCUUUGAUGCUGAGUAGAGUGAGCAGAAUGGCCGGUCCUCCAGCAGCAGCAGACAUUAGGAGAGGAUGGGUUUGACGGGAAUGCAGAUGACUUUUAAGGUUAAGUCGACCUCAGGCGGUGGAGCCUGCGCUGGGAACGUUCUGCGUGCACUGGAAGUGGGAGACUGGAGGGAAUGUGGGCAGAUCUGGAAGGGCGGGUUCAGAACGCACCAGAAGCCGUACCAACAGCUACUGCACAGCUAUGAACACUGAGAUCAUUGAGACAAAGGAAACUAGAAAGUAGAAGAUAACCUUCAGGAAGAAAGGUCACUGGGCCGUCUCUCUGGGCUGUCCAAACGGCCUCCACAUGGUGCCGCCGCGGGGCACAGGAGACCUGGUCCCAGGUGGUGGGUGUCAGGGAGGGCUGGCAGAGAAGAGCUUGCUCCCCGCCCAGGUGCCAAAGGCCAAGUGGGAAAUGGUGAAAAACCCCGACUGUCCAGUUUCUAUCCACUUUCGCUGUGAGACCCUGAGAGCUCGGCUCUCUGCUAUGGUCUGGGAAUGCAGUAGAAGAUGGCCCCAGUUCUUGGGCCCCCGUACCCACGUGGGAGACGCGGAGGAAGCUCCUGGCUCCUGGCUUUGGAUCAGCUCAGCUCUGGCCAUUGUGGCCAUCUGGGGAGUGAACCAGCAGAUGGAAGACCUGUCUCUCUCUCUGGCUCUACCUCUCUCUGUAACUC